AGUAGUCUGCCUCGCCACGGAACAUAAAGGUGGCGAAUGGAACCUUCUGUUCCUCCGUGCAUCCCAAGACAUCGAAUAUCUUGGUAAUUUGCUUGACCCAUGUUUCUGCCAUGAUCGAAUCUGGCUUUCCCUUAAAUUCCGGUGGUCCCAACUCUUUGAACUGCUUGGCUGUGACAACUCGUAAAUUGCUAUCAUUUCCUCCU
rnacentral:lncRNA from 1 species